rnacentral:hammerhead_ribozyme from 1 species
AUCUAAAUAACCAGUCCAAAAUAGAACGAAACGCGCAUCCUGGAU